UACGUAGGGGGCAAGCGUUGUCCGGAAUCAUUGGGCGUAAAGCGCGCGUAGGCGGCCCGAUAAGUCCGCUGUGAAAGUCAAAGGCUCAACCUUUGAAUGCCGGUGGAUACUGUCGGGCUAGAGUCCGGAAGAGGCGAGUGGAAUUCCUGGUGUAGCGGUGGAAUGCGCAGAUAUCAGGAGGAACACCAAUAGCGAAGGCAGCUCGCUGGGACGGUACUGACGCCAGUAGGCGAAAGCGUGGGGAGCGAACAGG
rnacentral:rRNA from 1 species